UACAGAGGGCGCAAGCGUUUAAUCGGAAUUACUGGGCGUAAAGCGCGCGUAGGUGGUUCGUUAAGUUGGAUGUGAAAUCCCCGGGCUCAACCUGGGAACUGCAUUCAAAACUGACGAGCUAGAGUAUGGUAGAGGGUGGUGGAAUUUCCUGUGUAGCGGUGAAAAUGCGUAGAUAUAGGAAGGAACACCAGUGGCGAAGGCGACCACCUGGACUGAUACUGACACUGAGGUGCGAAAGCGUGGGGAGCAAACAGG
rnacentral:rRNA from 1 species